GGGGGUGUUGCCUUGCUGUGGUUGCAAGUGUAGAUGUGGGGGUGUGUCUCGACAAAAGAGGAAGAGAAUGAGCAAUGGUGAGUGAGACUAGAAGAAGAAGAAGAAAAUAGAGAAAGUGAAAGAGAGAUAUCACAGGACAGAAAAGGAAACCCCUAGAAAAAUGGGGAAUCUUGCCACAUGUCAGCGCAAGUGUGGUCCAAAAAUGUAGAAAUAUCUCCAAUACAGAAAUUACCCAAAAUGCCCCUAUCAUUAUGAGUUCCGUAAAAUCUUCAUUUUCGCUCCAAAUGCAAUUCCGCUUAUGCCCACACAUUCGUAUCGUCGAGAACUACGCAAAUACGCUAACAGAAUGAGCCCUAUGUCCCUCUAACCGAUGGUCAACGGGAGUCAAAAUGCUUGCCUCUAGGAGCAUUGUCGUCAAAUCACUCAUUUAAAAUUAAUAAAAUUAUAAAAUUAGGGAUGAAUUGUCAUAGUAUGUGUAGAAGUAUUAAAUAAAGAGGACAAAAUGUAGGGACUUUAGUCAAUUCUCUAUGUUGGUUCACUUUACAUCGAAGAAAGUUCAUGAAUUCUUUUCUAAUUGAUUCUAAAUGGCUUAGACUAUGUGGUCAUCUUAGUUGGAACUUUUGGAAAGAUGUUUUGAUUUUUAACGUUUUCUAUGGAUUGCAAUUUGAAAAUGAAAAUUUUGUCUUAGUUGAGUUUUAAUAAAGUUUUUAAGUUUGUUAGUUUUUGUUUUUGUGUUUGAUUUUUGUUUUUGCUCGAGGACAAGUAAAAACCUAAGUUUGGGAUGGGUGAUGCGUAAAAUAACUAAACACACAAAUUAAACCCUCUUUUGUCAAAUUGUAGUAAAGAUGUAAGUAGGGAUCAUUCUAAACCGGGGAUUAUGAGGGAUUGCUAAACUCUUGAAAACUAACUCAAUAAUGUAAAAACAAAGUUUAAAACACUAAACUAGACUCAAAGAAUGUAAAAUUAAAAGUUAAAACACAUAAAACUCAAAACAACAACCUAAUGACUCAAAACUGCCUAAAAACCACUUUAUGGGCAGUUUUGAGAACCUAACAAGAAAUUGGACGAAUUUGGAUGAAAACUUGGAUCAAAACACUUAGAAACACAAAUCAAAACGCUUUCUAACUAAUCUAAGACUUCAAAAUAAAGGGGGAUAUGUUCUGGACGAAAAUUGAAAACAAAACAGAAACUUUAAAACAAAACAGAUUGUAAAACGUUUUUGGAUGAAAAGGAUGGAUAAAAGGCUAGUUAGGAGGUUCUUCUCCACACAUGACACACUUGCAAACAAAACGAUUUUCAGUUGUUCUUCCAAUAAAUUAUGAAACUCAACACCCCAAGUUAAUUAGAUACGUUUAAAUUAACCUUCAAGUUCUCCUUAAGUUAAUGAAUUGGAUGGGAAAGCGCAUACAACAAUUCAAAGCAUUCCUCAAAGGUUCCUUACGUGAUGAGCACAAUAAAGAUACAAUCAAGAAUCAUGAAGCACAAUGAGAACUAUAAGUGUUGACGAGGCAUUCGUUACUAUGAUGAGCAUGAAACUAGUGCCAAGAAUUCAUUCAACGCGAUCGUUUUCAAGCGACCUUCACUACUUGUGAUUAUAAGAUUGUAACUAUUAAGUGAAACUCCCUCAUAAUCUAGCAUCAUAUUCAUGCAUGAAAACUAAGCGUGCACUCUCAAUCAACAUACAAAAAUAAGUUAUCAAUCAAGUAGAUGAACGAAUUGAAUCCACAACUUAUGAAAUAACAACUGAAUGUAAUCAAAUCAUAUUGCAAGCAUGUACAUGGUUUCGAAUCACCCCCCAACUAAGGGGGUUUAGUUCCUCAUACUCACAACACAAAGUUUAUUGAAUUGAAACAUUGAAAACAUAAGAAAGAUUACACCUAAAAGUUCCAGCAAUCUGCAAUAGACUAGCAAGCACAUUCAAGAGCACUUCUUCUUCCUUCUUGCUGCGGCACAAGGUAUGGAGAUGGUUUGGAUGGGUUUUGGAUGAUGGAGAAUGGUGGGAAGGUGUCUAGGAUGGGUGUAUGGCACGGCUAGGAAGGUUUGGGGUCAGAAGAUAUGGAUUUGGGUGAAGGUUGGGCACGGCAAAGGUAGGGGAAAGGUUUCUGGCGUGAAUGGAUGUGAAUGGGUGUGUGUGGAAUGUUUUGUGGCUGCAACAAGGAGGUUUAUUUAAAGGAAAACAGAAAUUAAAACCCUAGGUUGAUUAGGAAAUCAGAAAUUAAGUCUAAGGAUUCUAGAAUUAGGAAAUAAAAUCAGAAACUUAAAGGAAACCCACCAAAAGUUGCGGCAAUCACUUAAAACACAAAAGGAAUGUGUUUUAAGUCAGAUUUUGGGAAAGAAACCCUCUCCCUUGCACGGCAAGGAAGAGGAAAAGUCAGAAAUCCCUUACAAGGUGCGGCAAAGCUUUAGGAAAGGUUUAAGUGUCCUAAAACUUAAAGGGAAAGGGAAAGCUUGUGCGGCAAGGACAAGGGAUUGGUGUAUGAUGUGCGGCAAAGGUCCCUAAGAAUUCUAGGGCCUUUGUUUGGUGUCCCAAAAUGCAUAAAAGGCAAUCAAAGUGGCUGGAACUUAAGGACAUUUAGGAAUAGGAAAGGUCAACCAAAAUAGGAAACCUUGGCUUAACUUUCCUACUUCAAGUAGGAAUCCUUGUUGGAGUAGGAAUCCUUGUUCUUCUAGGAAUCCUUUUUCAAUUAGGAAUCCUUUGUUGAUUAGGAAUCCUUCUUGGAUUAGGAAACCAACUUUCUUCAAGACUUCAAUUCAUCCAUUCCUUUUGCUCCAAAAGGCUCCAUUUUGCUUCUUUUUGCACACUUUGACCUUAGAACCUGAAAACACACAAAAGUGACUUUAAACACUAAAA
rnacentral:lncRNA from 1 species